AUACGGAGGGGGCUAGCGUUGUUCGGAAUUACUGGGCGUAAAGCGCGCGUAGGCGGAAUGGUCAGUUGGGGGUGAAAUCCCGAGGCUCAACCUCGGAACUGCCUCCAAUACUGCCAAUCUAGAGAUCGGAAGAGGUGAGUGGAAUUCCUAGUGUAGAGGUGAAAUUCGUAGAUAUUAGGAAGAACACCAGUGGCGAAGGCGGCUCACUGGUCCGAUACUGACGCUGAGGUGCGAAAGCGUGGGGAGCAAACAGGAUUAGAUACCCCGGUAGUCC
rnacentral:rRNA from 1 species